AUUGAACGCUGGCGGCAGGCCUAACACAUGCAAGUCGAGCGGUUGAAGGGAGCUUGCUCCUGGAUUCAGCGGCGGACGGGUGAGUAAUGCCUAGGAAUCUGCCUGGUAGUGGGGGAUAACGUCCGGAAACGGGCGCUAAUACCGCAUACGUCCUGAGGGAGAAAGUGGGGGACCUUCGGACCUCACGCUAUCAGAUGAGACUAGGUCGGAUUAGCUAGUUGGUGGGGUAAAGGCCUACCAAGGGGACGAUCCGUAACUGGUCUGAGAGGAUGAUCAGUCACACUGGAACUGAGAGACGGUCCAGACUCCGACGGGGGGCAACAGUGGGGAAUACUGGACGAUGGGCGAAAGCCUGAUCCAGCCAUACCGCGGGAGUGAAGAAGGUCUUCGGAUUGUAAAGCACUGAAAGUUGGGAGGAAGUACAGUAAGUCAAUACCGGACUAUAUUGACGUUACCAACAGAAUAAGCACCGGCUAACUUCGUG
rnacentral:rRNA from 1 species